UCAAAGGUUCUUUUAAGAACUAUAACGUUUUUUAUUCUGGUUUAAU
rfam:Salmo salar isolate Sally breed double haploid chromosome ssa15, whole genome shotgun sequence.